GCGGGGGGGCGUGCCUUACACAUGCAAGUCGAACGGUGAAAGCGGAGCUUGCUCCGCUGGAUCAGUGGCGAACGGGUGAGUAACACGUGAGCAACCUGCCCCGGACUCUGGGAUAACAGUUGGAAACAGCUGCUAAUACUGGAUACGAGCUGCGAAGGCAUCUUCAGCAGCUGGAAAGAACUUCGGUCCGGGAUGGGCUCACGGCCUAUCAGCUUGUUGGUGAGGUAACGGCUCACCAAGGCGUCGACGGGUAGCCGGCCUGAGAGGGUGACCGGCCACACUGGGACUGAGACACGGCCCAGACUCCUACGGGAGGCAGCAGUGGGGAAUAUUGCACAAUGGGCGAAAGCCUGAUGCAGCAACGCCGCGUGAGGGACGACGGCCUUCGGGUUGUAAACCUCUUUUAGCAGGGAAGAAGCGAAAGUGACGGUACCUGCAGAAAAAGCGCCGGCUAACUACGUGCCAGCAGCCGCGGUAAUACGUAGGGCGCAAGCGUUAUCCGGAAUUAUUGGGCGUAAAGAGCUCGUAGGCGGUUUGUCGCGUCUGCUGUGAAAACCCGAGGCUCAACCUCGGGCCUGCAGUGGGUACGGGCAGACUAGAGUGCGGUAGGGGAGAUUGGAAUUCCUGGUGUAGCGGUGGAAUGCGCAGAUAUCAGGAGGAACACCGAUGGCGAAGGCAGAUCUCUGGGCCGUAACUGACGCUGAGGAGCGAAAGGGUGGGGAGCAAACAGGCUUAGAUACCCUGGUAGUCCACCCCGUAAACGUUGGGAACUAGUUGUGGGGACCAUUCCACGGUUUCCGUGACGCAGCUAACGCAUUAAGUUCCCCGCCUGGGGAGUACGGCCGCAGGCUAAAACUCAAAGGAAUUGACGGGGACCCGCACAAGCGGCGGAGCAUGCGGAUAAUCGAUGCAACGCGAAGAACCUUACCAGGCUUGACAUAAUACGAGAACGCUCUGGAAACAGAGACUCUUGGACCUCGUAACAGUGUGCAUGAUGUCGUCAGCUCGAGUCCUGAGAAUGUUGGUUAAGUCCGCAAC
rnacentral:rRNA from 1 species